GACUGCUUGGUCUAGUGGCAAGACAUCCUUGAAAUCUGCCCUCCAGGAAGAUAGGUUACGGGGAGCUUGUGGGUUCGAUUCCCGCAGCAGUCA